ACUGCGCUCUUAAAUUGCGACAACCGAGCCGAGUCUGCUGCUGCAGCCGGGCUGUGGCGUUGAGUGGCCUGUUCAUCUGUCACCAUGCAAUAGUCGGCUACAUUAUAGCAGCAGUGUGCCAAGAGCGUACGCAUAGAUACUGUUAACAAGGCACCUCUGUCACCGAUAAAUGUUGCUGCUGUGGCUUUUUUAUGUUGUAUGUUGGAUGUAUGUGGCACACAGUGACCCGAGAGUGCACCGCAUUCCAGUCAUUCCAACACAUACUCACAAUUUCGACGUGCGCUUCGCAAAAACUUGCAGCCCCAUGGUGUAUGCCGGCGGAAUCCACUUGGAUUCAUUUUAGUGGCCAGAGUGCAACUUUUAUUGCAUUGUAAGCAUAUAAAUCAGCUGAAACGACGAGUCUGUGACAACGAAGGCUACGAUGUUGCUGUACGAGAUGACCAACGAAGCAGCAAUGGCGAGAUGUCUUCACAAAAUUUUAGUAUGGAUUUAUGUCCCGGCAACACGACAAUCUCUAAACCAAUUUUUUAGAUCGGAGCACUAUAGCUGCCAAACAAACUGACAAAAUGACAUUUAUAAAAAGAGUCUUAUUUUUAAACAAAUGAAGUAACAAGCCCAAUUUUAAUUGUAUAAUAUAUUAAAAUACUAACUAUUUUAGCAUUGUGAAAACACCAAUAAAUAAACUAGACAAUCAUAAAAUAAACACUAAACGCCACAAAUCCAAAUAUUCAUUUGAAUCUAAUAAUUUCAAAAAAGCUGGCAACCUUCUUACAAAGUUGUAUAUGUAUGUAUAUGGCGCUCACACGCUCUUUCAACUCAACGUCAUCAUGCAGCCGACCAGUUUCGUUGCUACCGUCUCAUUGUUGUUAACGCUUCGUGUCGUGCCGUCUGGCUUUCUGGUUUCAGUUUACUAGGCUAAUCAUCUGUUUUGGUUUUCAAUGUUGAUUCAUUCAAAAUAACACGACAGCAACGACGCGCACGAAGCACCAACAACGGCAGUCAAAGUAAUAAAAACGCCACCACUCACUCAGAGAGAUUCCACUUGUACAAUGAGUGCGCUGAUUGUAUGUGUUUGUGUAUGUGUGUGUAUAAGUUUGUGGAUGGGCGAUUGGAUGAAUGUAAACGUACUCGCUUAAAUAUGUGCUGAUGCAGCAGAAAAACGACCACGGGGCGUAUAAGUAGUCUAAACGCGUAGUGGGUAAAAAAGUUCACACGCUACCCACCCCCAGCCACACCCGCUGCUGCUCUACACACACGAAAACAAUUGUAGAGGAAAGCAACGAACUGGUCGCAUGGAUGGUUUUGGUUUGUUGUCGGUUGCUUAUUCGGUUGUUUGGUUAGCUGGAUUAUAUGAUGGAAUGAGUGUACCAAGUAUGAAGUGUUUGCUUUGCCGGCUGUUGGAGUGUUGGUGGUUAGUCGCUGCCGGUAUAUAUGGCGUGUGGCUGGACGAUAUGAAGAGCGCAUAAUAGAAUGGUUGUUGCUUUGUGUCGGUGAGAGCACACAGUAUUGGCGUUGGAAACAAGUUGUUUGUAGGAUAUAUAUGUGUGUAUAGCGUUGAUGCAACGAGUUAUUAAGAGCCAAGGCGUCACAUCGGAUUGCUUCGCUUUCCGACGUUGGGGUCAUAGUCAUCGGCGUCGCUGAUAUUGUUUUUGUCGUUGUCGGUGUUGAUGUCGGUAUAGUUGUCGACUGCUUGAGCUGGGGCUGUCAACAGCAGCACGUUAGCGUCAUUCAGUCAAUUGUUGACUGUGACGGCGUUUGCUAUUGCACGCGGCAGCUAUGUUAGCUAGCCUGACUAGCUGGUUAUAUGGCUCUAAACAGCUGAUUGUUGUUUUUAUUACUUAAAUCGCUUGUGGCUCAUUGCUAUUUUGAUAGAAUUAAAUAUGGCAAAGUGAUUAAAUAAAGCAAGCACAUAUAACAUAUUGCCGACGAUGUUGUAGCGACAAAACCCACCACCUAACAACGACGUUGACGCCUCCGCCUUUGACGAUAGCACGAUAGGAAGCAAUUAGGCAUGAGACGACGACGAGCAUGUUGAGGAGUCAAAGCCGGUGGUAGCCAUCGGUAGGUUUUUGCGGCAGCAUUUACCGACCGACAUUCACAGCACCGUAGCGGCUCGCGGUAGACGGUUGUUUGGCUGUUGACCGGCUGGCGCGGCGCGCGCAUUCACUUGUUCAACACACUAUAUAGCACAACAUUUGGAAUAAGGCGGCUAGACACUCACUCACUGUAGUAACAUUGCCGGUUGGCUGACUUGGCACAUUUGUUUGUCGUUGUUGUACGCUGUAGCGGCAGUUGAUGUUUGCGACAAAAAAAUACGUUGUUUGUAUUCAUUUCUGGUUGAUCUUUUUAUUUAGUAGCAUAUUUAUUUAUUGUUAAAUUUUGCAAAGAUUUUAAAAGAAAGUGUGUUUUGUUUUUGAAAAGAAAAAAUUACAACGAACUCGGCGGUAAAAUCUCAUCGAAAUCGAGAUUCGAUAUUCGAGGGAAAGAUUAGGGGAACAGCCGCGUCAGCAAGCAAACGCGCACCAAGCAGAAAUUCAAAACCAGAAGCGAGCGCAAAGCAACAGCAAACAAAGCGCCAAGCAGUCGAAACACCGCCAAAGCCAGACGAACGAACGUGCAUAAAAACGAACGCGCUGUGCCGUGCCGUGCGCGCCGCGCCGCUCGACGCGUUGUGGUUGCUCGGUUUGCCAGUGUUGAGAGCGGGAGCGCGCAGGGUGGCGGGGCACAGACAGCAACGCUGUACAAACACAUGCGCAAAACAAGCAAAAGGUAAACAAAGCGGUUGAAUGGAAAAGAAAUUACAACUUGUUCAACAACAACAUAAAUGAGAGAACACAACAAAAAUCGAGUGCGAAGUAAAACGAACGAACGCAUUGAUAGAGCGACGCGCCCUCAGUAAAAUAUGAGCGGACAGGCACGACGCUCAGCGCACGAGUACAGAAAGGCAAAACUGAUAACAGCUAAGCAAUAAGAAAACAACAACAAAUACUCUAUUAUGUAUUCAUUGGUGAAUGUACAACAAAUUACGAAUCGGACCGCCUGCCUAAACAGUUCACGCUGCAUAGAUACACACAUGACAUAGCGCAUUGCAUUGUCAACCGCACAGUCGAGCGGUUGAGCGGUCGUUAUCGAUAACGCAUAACAAGCGUUUUGUAGUUCAGCGGCGCUUU